AGCGGAGCCUGCUGCCCACGCCCCGCGGGGUGUCUAGCAAGCCUUGGCCCCCCCCCCCCAGCGUUUCCUAAGCAUGAGCCCAAAAGUCCCCUCAGAGACUGUAAGAGGGUGUGGUGGGGUUUUCUCUGUUAACAAUGAGGGAACUAGGUCUUGGGGGGAGGGGCGUGGACCUCAAGGGAAGGAGUGAUUUAGAGAUUUUAUUUUUCUGGCGUUGGAGUGGAAUAAAGAAAGCAAUCAUACUAAGACUUAUUAAAACGCCCGAGGAUUCAAAUAAUUUUAGAAAUGAGUCUUGUCUUCUUUUUACAGAUAGGGAAAUUGAGGCACAGAGCAGUUAGUGGUUGCCCCAAAUCGUGCAGGAAAGUCUGGACUCAAUGCCUAUAACGGGGGGAAAAAAAACGUUGCGGUCCAGUUGAUUCCGACUCAUAACGACCCUAUCGGUCAGAGUAUAACUGCCCCAUAGAGUUUUCCAGGAGCAGCUGGUGAAUUCGAGUUGCAGACCUUUUGGUGAGCAGCCAAACGCUUAAUCGCUGCGCCACCAGGGCUGCGGAAAUGCCUAUACCAAGCCCAGUAUCCAUUCUACUGAACUUUGUGUUUUCUUUGCGGUGGGGGGUGGUUGCACCCUAAAGUCCCUCUGCCUCUGUGACCUAAUGGGGGUUGGCCUUGAUUCAACAUGUAGUGUUUCAGCAUUUGGAUGACACACCCAUUACAGGCCAGUAAUCUGAGAUACUCCUUCUCAGGAACUUCCUCUUUCUUGAUUAGGGAACCCAAUCACAAGCACUGACAGAUAUGCAAAUACCUUGAUGAUUUACUCUCAUAAGGUCUCAUAGCUUCUCAGUGAGCAUCAGAAUGUUGGUGCUUCUCUCUCCAUUUCAAAUGGAAGCCCUUCCCCACCCCAUUCAAUUAUUCACAUCAGAUGAGAUAAUGUAUGCAAAGAGGCCUCAGGAAGUAUAAAGCAUGACAUGAAUGUAGGUAUUAUUGUACAUACUUUUUCAAAACCAUCUAGAUUCACACGCUUUACUGUUUCUAUCAGUCAUUGAGUACCUGUUGACUUCUGCUAGAUACCAUGGAGUUCGAACAAUGAGGCCUAAUUAAUCCUUCACCUUCAAAGACCACAGAUUAUGGAUUCAUAGAUAGGACCAACACACAGGAAAUAAUUAGAAAUAUACACAAAGAUUGAUUUUUGUUCCUAAACUAUUUGAUGUUUAUAUUAAACUUACCAUGUAUAUUGGGUGAAGAGAAAUUGUCAUAGAAGCCAACGCAUUGGUAAAUUAUGUUAAUCCAGUAAAACCCCAAUACUUUUCCAAAUAGAAAUAUUAGACAAAUUAGUCAAUUGAUGAGGAUGGCUUUGCCUUUUUGAGCCCACUGUUCAUCCUUACUAUCCAUUCAUAAAUAUAAGGAAUACCCAUAACAUUUUAAAAAAUCAGUCAAUUAAAUCUUAGGUAAUCAAAAAUUUUAUUUAAGGAGAGUGCAAAAAUAACCCAAAACAAUUGAAUGUCAAUGUCCGCUAAAAACUAGCCAGAGAGUUUAUUUGUCAGAGAUGGAAGGCCUGGUAUUUAUUUGAAAAUCAUAUUUUAAAAGCCAAUCUUUAUAAUUCAGAAGUAUCAUAUAAUCUAAAAUAUUUAUGUAUUAAUACAGCCGUUCUUUUGAUCCUUAAUCCUGGCAUUUCCUUAAAAAAGCAAACAAAACUCUCAACCCAAAUAUCCUACCUUUUUUUUUUUUAGUUUCUAGAAACUUCAAUUCAUAUAACCUUUGGAUGAAAACAUUACAUUUUGAACCAGUUUCUGAAUUUGAAGGUGUGGAAGAUUACUAUUGCUCUUUCAGAAAUGCCAUAUGUUCAAAAUGUUGACUGUACUAAAUUCGGAAGAUACAGUCAUACUCAGAAUUUUCUGUUAAGGAAAACUGUUGUUUGGGCAAAAUACAUUUAUUCUAGCAGAGUAUACAAAUUCUUCUUAGUCUCCAAAACAGGAGUAGCAGGAGCCAAUUUAUCAAGUAUAAUGUAUUCCAGACACUUGCUGGAAUAAACAGCACUCUUGAGCCCCUCAGAUGCACAGCCAAUAGGGAGCUGUUGACUACUUGAGGUUUUUACACAUCUCUCAGCCAAAUCAGAAAUCCAAAUCCCAAAUCAGUCACAGGCACACAGUGUGGAUUUACAGUCCUGCCUGGGCAGAGUGUCGCAAUCUGCAAAUGCACUAUACUACCCAAGGAAGGUUUAUUUUUAACAUAAAAUAAACUGAAUUUUUUUUCAUUUGACAAGCAUGGCACGUACAAAUAAAAUUCUCAAAAAUUUAAAUGUCUUUUGCAACACCAAGCCAAAACACAAUAAAACAUAUAUUCAUAAUUAUCCAUGGGAGAAUAUAUAAGUUUAUAUUCCUAUAUUCGUGUAUAUGUGUAGAUAGAUAUGUAGAAUUUCCAUGUGAAUAACUAGUACAUAUCAUAAGGACUCAAUUAUGUAUCUGUUUAUAUUGGACUUAGAACAUUCAUCUAUUUACAUGUCAUAAAAUGUUAAUCCUAACUGGUAUCGUAUCCUACAUUAUGUACAAUAAAGAAAUAACAAAGAUUUUUGCACACAAAGACACAAAAAUUGCUUAAGUGUAGAGUUAUACUCAGGCUUGUGGCAUAAACUCAGAAAAUAUGUGGCAUAAACACAGAAAAUAUGGGACAAAAAUGUGCAUUUAAACCCUGGUCUUAUUUAAACUCUCAAAUCCAAAGGCAAGGGCAAAAAUCACUAGGUUAAUAGUUUCUUGAGCAUUUGUAUCUGCGUAUGCUGACAGGUUAUCACCAAUCCCAAUUCAAAAGAGAAAUGUUCUCUUUUUUUUCUCUCUCUGUCUCUCACACACACACACAUUUUCAAAAUUCUUUCAUUAUUUACUUUGGCAAUGUAAUUUCAUAUAGAAAACUUCACUAAACGCAGCUAAUGCGAGUUUUCCUUCAGAAGAAGGAUAAAGAUCCAGCCCACCAAGACGAAGAUUUACUCCUGGGCAUCAGUGGAAGACUGGAUCAUAAUGAGAACAGCCAAGAGCUGAAGCCCACUCCUCACAGGAGGAAUGGAAUUGAGGAGUCAACAGUCUUACAGGAUAAAGAGUUCGCCUUUGCAGUCAGAUAAACCUGUGGUCUUGUACAGAGCCGCGGCCUCCGUGUCUCCACCUGCAAAAUGGAAGUAAUACAAACUCGUGGGUUUGUCCUCGGAGCUAGAGGUGCUUCUCUGAAGAAGCGGCCGAUUCUACUGCAGCCUGCGACCUGAAAAACCAUAGCACCGUAUUUACAGAGAAUGCACUGUGUGCAGGAAGAAUCUUGAAGACAGGAGCUGUGACUUUAUUCCUUUUGGUAAUUUUCAGGACCGGUGAGUACGGGGCCUGGAACAUCAUGGGCUUGUUGAAUACGAGUCUGCCCAGAAGGCUGGACAGUCUGUCACGAUAGCAGAUCAUUGGUUGCAAUGCCUGGGGAUAAGGUUUCGCAGUUGGGCUUUGCUUUAUUUUGUCUCUCAACAGCCUCGCAUGAAGAAGCUGGCGUCCCCUGGUGGAGUCAAUGUCUCAUCAUCCCAGCUGAUGGCAUUCCCAGGGGUGCUACACCUUGGAUGAGUUGUCGGAGCCAGAAUUUGUUCCCUUCCCUUCACCGAAACUCUCCUUCCCUGAAACUUUCUGCAGAAGUUCAUAAUUCCUGGGUAUCAACUUCAUUGCGAGGCACACGAUGCGCACGGAACCUAUUUGGUGAAUGAAUAAAAGAAAAGCAUGAU